rnacentral:lncRNA from 1 species
GCGCUGGCCGUUCGCCCCCGGGGACACGUCACGGAGCGCGGCAGCCCCGGGCGGCGACUGCUCACCGCUAGGUGUCCGAGGGACACCCGGCACACCGCGGCACGUCGGGUCCUAGGGAGCGUAGAUUGCCUUAAAAAUACCGUUUUCUUGGGUAUUUCUUUUUAUUUGACCUAAAUUUGUCUACAAGAUCCAGGCGUCUUGUGGGAUGAAAAGUAAAAAUGCAGGAGCAUUGCCCCGGAACGGAAGAGAACUUCCAAUUUAACAAAUGGUCUUCCUGUGUGAACAACAACAAUUCGCCUACCUGGCCAUCCAGCAGAGAGCCCCAGGGAACUGGAAGUGCUGCUGAAAGGAAACAGGAGCCAGCCAGCAACAAUCUUCAGGUUUUGAAGGUCAGCUGUGGGGAACAUGGGCAGUAAUAUGUCCUCAGAAGAAAAACAUGUUUUCGAACUUAUGUCUAAACUUUUAGAGAAAAUCUACGUGAUUUGUACAGCAAAUCAGUUGCUUCUCACUCUCUUAUGCUGAUUUUAUGCUGGGUGGAAUCAUUUGUUUAAAAGUUUAAAAGCCAGCAUGGCUUUCACAGUGGAGCUAUGGGAUGAAGUGGGGUCAAACUCCGGGAUCAGGUGAGGAGACGUGAUAAGAUCGUGGCUGGUUUCUUACCCCUGUGGAGAGCUAUUUUAGAAACUCUUAAAGCUCAGGAGGGUGCCAGAACAGGCAAGGGUUCUGCAGAGGAGCUUUUAACAUCCCCCAUUCCCCCCAUUUCUGCAAAAGCACAAGUUUCUGCCCAUACGGGCCCCUGAAAUCCAAUUUACUGCCUCUAAUGGGGAUUUGGAAUUUGAGGAUGAUCCCUUUGAUCCUAAACCUGUUAAUGCGGAGAAUGAGCCUGAUUUAUUUUCCCCUAAUUUGCAUAACAAUUGGUGGGUCCAGCAGCAGCCACUAACAGCAGAUCACUUAGAAAUUGUGCAAGCAAUUGCUGCACCUGUUAUAUACCACCAGCAAAGACCUCCUGCAUGGGAAGGUCUGUCUUUCUCAGUCAUCAAAUAAUGACAGUGCACCGUGAUGGAAUACGGUAUUAAUUCUUCAUAUUUUACUAAUGUGCUCUCCACUGUUCUCAAUUCCUAUACUAUGAUUCCUCGUAAUUUAAAGUCGCUCUCCCAACUGCUGCUUUCAUCAAAGCAAUAUACAAUCUGUGAGGCAGAAUGAAAAAAGCUUUUAGAAGCACGGCUUUUAACCUAUGCGGGAAAUGCAAAUCAGCAAGUUGCCGCCUUAACAAUUGAACAGCUCAUGGGGACAGGGCAGCAUUCACAGCUGGACACUCAGGCAAGAGAAAUUCCACAGGAAGUUUUAGAUGAUAUUAGAGAUGAUGCAUACCAUGCUUUUAUGAAAGCCCUCGAUGCUGGCAAAAUGCAAAAGGCUUUCACAUCUAUAACUCAAGGGGCAAAAGAGCCUUAUAUGCAAUUUAUGGAUUGCCUUUGAGAGGCAUUAGACACACAAGUUGCUCAUCAAGAAGUUUGUGAUAUAUAUUAUUCUUUUAAAGUAAGCAAUAGAGAAUGCAAACAGUGACUGUCAAAAGGUUCUCAGGCCACUUAAAAAUCCCACAGUCAUAGAAAUUGUUGAAGCUUGUAAUUGUAUCUGAAUGGUUGAACACAAGUUUGAAAUGAUGGCUGCUGCUUUUACUGCGCUUAAUGUGUCCCCUUGUAAUAUAUGUUGGUAUAAUUUGUGUUUUAUUGUACAUAUAUAAGAUCAAGUAUAAAAGCAUGUUUUAUAAAUAAAAAACACAAACAACUUGAGAUUGCA